rnacentral:rRNA from 1 species
UGGGGAAUUUUGGACAAUGGGCGAAAGCCUGAUCCAGCAAUGCCGCGUGUGUGAGGAAGGCCUUCGGGUUGUAAAGCACUUUUGUCCGGAAAGAAAUCCUUGGCUCUAAUACAGUCGGGGGAUGACGGUACCGGAAGAAUAAGCACCGGCUAACUACGUGCCAGCAGCCGCGGUAAUACGUAGGGUGCAAGCGUUAAUCGGAAUUACUGGGCGUAAAGCGUGCGCAGGCGGUUUGCUAAGACCGAUGUGAAAUCCCCGGGCUCAACCUGGGAACUGCAUUGGUGACUGGCAGGCUAGAGUAUGGCAGAGGGGGGUAGAAUUCCACGUGUAGCAGUGAAAUGCGUAGAGAUGUGGAGGAAUACCGAUGGCGAAGGCAGCCCCCUGGGCAAAUACUGACGCUCAUGCACGAAAGCGUGGGGAGCAAACAGGAUUAGAUACCCUGGUAGUCCACGCCCUAAAACGAUGUCAACUAGUUGUUGGGGGAUUCAUUUCCUUAGUAACGUAGCUAACGCGUGAAGUUGACCGCCUGGGGAGUACGGUCGC